AGGAGAGAGAAGGUUUGUU
rnacentral:miRNA from 1 species